CCUACGGGAGGCAGCAGUGAGGAAUAUUGGUCAAUGGGCGAGAGCCUGAACCAGCCAAGUCGCGUGAGGGAGUACUGCCCUAUGGGUUGUAAACCUCUUUUGUCGGGGAGCAAAAGCCGGACGUGUCCGGCUGUGAGAGUACCCGAAGAAAAAGCAUCGGCUAACUCCGUGCCAGCAGCCGCGGUAAUACGGAGGAUGCGAGCGUUAUCCGGAUUUAUUGGGUUUAAAGGGUGCGCAGGCGGAUUUUUACGUCAGCGGUAAAAUCGUGGGGCUCAACCCCAUCCAGCCGUUGAAACUGGGGAUCUAGAGUGUGCGAGAGGUAUGCGGAAUGCGUGGUGUAGCGGUGAAAUGCAUAGAUAUCACGCAGAACCCCGAUUGCGAAGGCAGCAUACCGGUGCACAACUGACGCUCAGGCACGAAAGCGUGGGUAUCGAACAGGAUUAGAUACCCUUGUAGUC
rnacentral:rRNA from 1 species